GACGUAGGGCGCGAGCGUUGUCCGGAUUUAUUGGGCGUAAAGAGCUCGUAGGCGGCUUGUCGCGUCGAAUGUGAAAUCUCAGGGCUCAACUCUGACAUUGCAUUCGAUACGGGCAGACUGGAGUUCGGCAGGGGAGACUGGAAUUCCUGGUGUAGCGGUGAAAUGCGCAGAUAUCAGGAGGAACACCGGUGGCGAAGGCGGGUCUCUGGGCCGAUACUGACGCUGAGGAGCGAAAGCGUGGGGAGCGAACAGG
rnacentral:rRNA from 1 species